UGUCGUCAGCUCGUGCCGUGAGGUGUUGGGUUACCUCCCGCAACGAGCGUAACCCCUGUCUUCAGUUGCCACCGGGUCAUGCCGAGCACUCUGGAGAGACUGCCCAGGAUAACGGGGAGGAAGGUGGGGAAGACGUCAAGUCAGCAUGGCCUUUAUGCCUGGGGCUACACACGUGCUACAAUGACCGGUACAAAGGGUUGCAAUCCCGUAAGGGGGAGCCAAUCUCAAAAAACCGGCCUCAGUUCAGAUUGAGGUCUGCAACUCGACCUCAUGAAGGUGGAAUCGCUAGUAAUCGCGGAU
rnacentral:rRNA from 1 species